rnacentral:rRNA from 1 species
UAGGGAAUCUUCCACAAUGGGCGAAAGCCUGAUGGAGCAACGCCGCGUGUGUGAUGAAGGGUUUCGGCUCGUAAAACACUGUUGCAAGAGAAGAAUGACAUUGAGAGUAACUGUUCAAUGUGUGACGGUAUCUUACCAGAAAGGAACGGCUAAAUACGCGCCAG